AUUGAACGCUGGCGGCAGGCUUAACACAUGCAAGUCGAGCGGUAACAGGAGAAGCUUGCUUCUUGCUGACGAGCGGCGGACGGGUGAGUAAUACUUAGGAAUCUGCCCAGUAGUGGGGGAUAGCUCGGGGGAAACUCGAAUUAAUACCGCAUACACCCUACGGGGAAAAGGGGGCGCUUGCGCUCUCGCUAUUGGAUGAGCCUAAGUCGGAUUAGCUAGUUGGUGGGGUAAAGGCCUACCAAGGCGACGAUCUGUAGCUGGUCUGAGAGGAUGAUCAGCCACACCGGGACUGAGACACGGCCCGGACUCCUACGGGAGGCAGCAGUGGGGAAUAUUGGACAAUGGGGGCAACCCUGAUCCAGCCAUGCCGCGUGUGUGAAGAAGGCCUUUUGGUUGUAAAGCACUUUAAGCAGUGAAGAAGACUCUAUGGUUAAUACCCAUAGACGAUGACAUUAGCUGCAGAAUAAGCACCGGCUAACUCUGUGCCAGCAGCCGCGGUAAUACAGAGGGUGCAAGCGUUAAUCGGAAUUACUGGGCGUAAAGCGAGCGUAGGUGGCUUGAUAAGUCAGAUGUGAAAUCCCCGGGCUUAACCUGGGAACUGCAUCUGAUACUGUUAGGCUAGAGUAGGUGAGAGGGAGGUAGAAUUUCAGGUGUAGCGGUGAAAUGCGUAGAGAUCUGAAGGAAUACCGAUGGCGAAGGCAGCCUCCUGGCAUCAUACUGACACUGAGGUUCGAAAGCGUGGGUAGCAAACAGGAUUAGAUACCCUGGUAGUCCACGCCGUAAACGAUGUCUACUAGUCGUUGGGGAACUUGAUUCCUUAGUGACGCAGCUAACGCAAUAAGUAGACCGCCUGGGGAGUACGGCCGCAAGGUUAAAACUCAAAUGAAUUGACGGGGGCCCGCACAAGCGGUGGAGCAUGUGGUUUAAUUCGAUGCAACGCGAAGAACCUUACCUGGUCUUGACAUAUCUAGAAUCCUGCAGAGAUGCGGGAGUGCCUUCGGGAAUUAGAAUACAGGUGCUGCAUGGCUGUCGUCAGCCCGUGUCGUGAGAUGUUGGGUUAAGUCCCGCAACGAGCGCAACCCUUUUCCUUAGUUACCAGCGGUUUGGCCGGGGACUCUAAGGAUACUGCCAGUGACAAACUGGAGGAAGGCGGGGACGACGUCAAGUCAUCAUGGCCCUUACGACCAGGGCUACACACGUGCUACAAUGGUAGGUACAGAGGGCAGCUACACAGCGAUGUGAUGCGAAUCUCAAAAAGCCUAUCGUAGUCCAGAUUGGAGUCUGCAACUCGACUCCAUGAAGUCGGAAUCGCUAGUAAUCGCGGAUCAGAAUGCCGCGGUGAAUACGUUCCCGGGCCU
rnacentral:rRNA from 1 species